CCAGCUGUUGCUCCUCUUGUUGUCAAGUGAAUACCUUCUCAUCGCCCACUUCCACUUUCAUGUCGUUACCCGGUCGCGGAUAGCAACACUGAGCAACACCGUCAGCGAUGUCUAUUUCGGCGAAUUUUUAUUCACUUUGCAGAGGACUCACUUGAAAAUUUUGGAAAGUCACCGUGCAGAAAACCGACGUCAUUUUGAACUUAGGAAAUGCGUCAGCAGUUUUUCAUCGCCUUGGCCACAUUCGGAACUUCUUCCAACAGUUAAUGCAGACAAAUCAGGAUGAAAAAUAAAUGAAAAGAAUAAAAUAGAAGAGCCGCAUUGGAGAUUAUGGUCUGCAUUUUCUUCAACGAAGUGGAAAAAGAGUAUUGGAAAAAUGAACAGAAGGUACGAGGGACACAGAAUGAAAUAUCUCAAUCGUGAGCACUUUCUGAACCAAUCCUGAGGAGAGCUUCCUGAACAAAAUCUGCUAGUAAAACUCACUUCGUGUUUUUUCCUACCAGUGUGAAGUCUGAUUCCAGUAUUCAAACGUGUUUCUGACUACUAAUAUUAUUAUUAAUAGUUCUCCCCCUCUGAAAAAUGUUCAAAAGCAUCAGCUUAAUGGGGCAGCUCCUUAAAUAUUAUAUUUUUCUCGCUGAUUUUGAAACGACUCAAGAAAACUGUAAAGAGAGAGAGAGAGAUAGUAUUUUUGGAGCGUCACCACAAGUUUAGCAAGAAACCAGUUUUGAUGCGCGCUCGCUUGUUUCAGGCUCAUUCAAAGAAUAAAAAUAGCAUAUAUAUUUUAUAGUAUA